UACGGAGGGGGCCAGCGUUGUUCGGAAUUACUGGGCGUAAAGCGUGCGCAGGCGGUUUGCUAAGAGAGAUGUGAAAUCCCCGGGCUUAACCUGGGAACUGCGUUUCUAACUGGCAGGCUUGAGUGUGGCAGAGGGGGGUGGAAUUCCACGUGUAGCAGUGAAAUGCGUAGAGAUGUGGAGGAACACCGAUGGCGAAGGCAGCCCCCUGGGCUAACACUGACGCUCAUGCACGAAAGCGUGGGGAGCAAACAGG
rnacentral:rRNA from 1 species